UACGAAGGGGGCUAGCGUUGUUCGGAAUCACUGGGCGUAAAGGCGCGUAGGCGGCUUGAUAAGUCGGGGUGAAAGCCUGUGGCUCAACCACAGAAUUGCCUUCGAUACUGUCGAGCUUGAGACCGGAAGAGGUAAGUGGAACUGCGAGUGUAGAGGUGAAAUUCGUAGAUAUUCGCAAGAACACCAGUGGCGAAGGCGGCUUACUGGUCCGGUUCUGACGCUGAGGCGCGAAAGCGUGGGAGCAACAGG
rnacentral:rRNA from 1 species